AUCCAACUGACGAGUCCCAAAUAGGACGAAACGCGUGUCCUGAAU
rfam:Schistosoma mattheei strain Denwood, Zambia genome assembly, scaffold: SMTD_scaffold0006969